rnacentral:rRNA from 1 species
UACGUAGGGCGCAAGCGUUGUCCGGAAUUAUUGGGCGUAAAGAGCUCGUAGGCGGCCGGUUGCGUCUGCUGUGAAAUCCCGGGGCUUAACCCCGGGCGUGCAGUGGAUACGGGCUGGCUGGAGGCAGGCAGGGGAGAAUGGAAUUCCCGGUGUAGCGGUGAAAUGCGCAGAUAUCGGGAGGAACACCGGUGGCGAAGGCGGUUCUCUGGGCCUGUGCUGACGCUGAGGAGCGAAAGCGUGGGGAGCGAACAGG